GAUGAACGCUGGCGGCGUGCUUAACACAUGCAAGUCGAACGAAUCCUUCGGGAUGAGUGGCGGACGGGUGAGUAACGCGUGAGUAUCUGCCCUAAGGCGGGGGACAACCAUUGGAAACGAUGGCUAAUACCCCAUAUGCCGAGAGGUGAAAGGUUAACUACCUUAGGAUGAGCUCGCGUCUGAUUAGCUAGAUGGUGGGGUAAUGGCCUACCAUGGCGACGAUCAGUAGCUGGUCUGAGAGGAUGAUCAGCCACACUGGGACUGAGACACGGCCCAGACUCCUACGGGAGGCAGCAGUGGGGAAUUUUCCGCAAUGGGCGAAAGCCUGACGGAGCAACGCCGCGUGAGGGAGGAAUGUCUUUGGAUUGUAAACCUCUUUUCUCAAGGAAGAUAAUGACGGUACUUGAGGAAUCAGCAUCGGCUAACUCCG
rnacentral:rRNA from 1 species